GCCGUGUUUACAGUAAACUUGAGCCACUGUUCGACAGCCCAUGGAUGUCAUUUUUGAUUGGUGCCUACAAAUACAAAAGAAAACACAACACCAUUUCAUGGAUUUCAAAAACAGAACUCACAAAACAUGCAAUUAAGAUUAGCACAGAAGAGAGAAGUGAGAUUUUUCUCUCAGUGCUCCAUGAAUUUUAAUCAAAGGUAACAGGUUGUCAUAUGAUGUAAUAUAAGACAAAUGUACACAUAAUCCUUUGCAUUUAUAAUUAUAUUUUCUUUUUUGUAGAAUGUGUGCAAUUGUAGAAUUUUCAGCGGAGGGAACAUAUGAAAUGGUGCCAGACAUCUGGUUGUUUAUGAAGGAUGAGGAGGAUUACAAUGGCGCUGAGACAGUUUCUAUCUGAUUGCAAUAGAGCAUUUCAGGAGUGCACCCGAUUGGCUCAAACAGACGACCAGGACUCUAUUGAAACAAUAGUUACAAGAUUGGAAACGAUGGCAUGAAGCCUUCAAUGGUCAAAAGGCAGACUUUGUGAAUCCCAACUAGCUGACGGACUCUUAAAUUUAAUUGGUGAGUUUGUGGCAGACGUUCGGCAGCAACAACAACCUGUUGGUAUUGUUGUUUUUCACUAUGAGAAACUAGUGGAUGGGUUGGACUCUGAUGGAUACAGAAAUAAAUGUACUUUCACAUUAGAGGUUUUAGUGUUCAAUGUACUCACACUGUAAUGGAAAACAUAAAUCAUGCAGUUGUAACAGUUGAAAAUAAGCAUACUUGGAUAAAGUGUAAAAAAGACAAUCAAAGUAAAGUGGAUAUCAAAGCACUAAUCAUUUUUAUAUCUAAUUAAAUGUUUUCUUUUGUAGCUUUCCUUGGAUAUAUAGUUCCACGCGUUAGGGGACAUACUGGGUGUCCAAAGUGCCACAUCACAUCUGAACAACUGCAGUUUUUACUGUCUUUACAGUUCACGAUACCUCAAAUUGCAGAAAUACUGGGCACUUCAAGUCGCACUGUGAAACGACGUCUCGGAUCAUUCAAUCUAUCUCUGCGUGGGCAUUUCACAAACAUCUCUGAUGCGGAGUUGGAUGUAACAGGUAGCCUGCGGCAAUGACUUACUGGGUCCAGAGGCUGUAUGAGCAAAACUUUUUUCAUAUCAGAUCUUUGUGCGUGGCUGUCUUCGCUUACAGGCUCAAAAUCUGACUGGGAUUCAGGGAGUGUUUGGUGCUGAUGAGCAGCCAAUUCAUCUGGAUGCAGAAGUGCCACACUCACCUCAGAUACCCACUUUUAACUGGCCAGACAGCAUUGAGGUCCCCUUGACUGAAUAUGCCCUGGACAAUGACCGCUUGGGUGAACUUCAGCAACUUGUUGAUCCCUUGGGAGGACCAAGAGACAACCUUGGAGUGAACCUCUUAAGAGAGGCCAUUAGGUUUCUUGACUCUCUGCAAUAACCUUUUUAUUGUUAUUUGUAUUAUUUGUAAAGUAGCUCUCUCCCCAUUUCUAUCACUCA
rnacentral:lncRNA from 1 species